UGGGGAAUAUUGGGCAAUGGGGGAAACCCUGACCCAGCGACGUCGCGUGAGGGAAGAAGGUCUUCGGAUUGUAAACCUUUGUCAACAGGGAAGAAGCAAGUGACGGUACCUGAAGAGGAAGCCACGGCUAACUACGUGCCAGCAGCCGCGGUAAUACGUAGGUGGCGAGCGUUAUCCGGAAUUACUGGGUGUAAAGGGUGUGUAGGCGGGGAUGCAAGUCAGAUGUGAAAUCCAUGGGCUCAACCUAUGGUGUGCAUUUGAAACUGCGUUUCUUGAGUGUGGGAGAGGUAAGCGGAAUUCCUAGUGUAGCGGUGAAAUGCGUAGAUAUUAGGAGGAACACCAGUGGCGAAGGCGGCUUACUGGACCACAACUGACGCUGAGACACGAAAGCGUGGGGAGCAAACA
rnacentral:rRNA from 1 species